rnacentral:tRNA from 1 species
GGGCGUCUAGCUCAGUGGUAGGGCGCAUGCUUAGCAUGCACAAGGUCCUGGGUUCAAUCCCCAGUCCCUCA